AUGCAGGGCAUUGCCCAAGCCUUGUGGCCAUCCGUCUCCCUGCCAGGAGGCAUGGGGGACCUUGUGGAGAAGCUCAAGGGAGCGCAGCGGCGCUUUCGAUUAUGGAAGAUAUUAGCCUGCCGACAAGGUGCGAGGGAAGCCUGGGCCAUGGUGAAGACGCGGUAUACCAAGGCUGACCCUAACCACAUGGCCGAGGUCGGACCUGUGGGGCCUGAUGGGAAGGAGAUCCCCGUCAGUUUGGUGUAUGACCAAGUAGAAUUAGCCGCAAAGUAUUACCAACAGGAUUGUAGGCUAGACAGCCUAUUGGAUGGUAUAGAAGAAGAAUUUAGUCAGUCUAAGUGA
rnacentral:rRNA from 1 species